ACACACAAAUAUAACACUUUUUUUAGAAGUUGCCAAGGUGACUUUUUUAUUUUUAUUUUUAAUGGUGUUUAAUCUGUGUAAUCUCAUUUGCUGAUUUUCUCUUUCCUACCCCACUUAUAAUAUAAUAUAAUUUUAUUUGUGUGAUUGGUAAUAUUUAUUUAUUGUUUCAAUCCUCUUGUAUUGUUUCUUCCUAUUUGUUGUUUAAAAGUGCUUCGUUUUAGUAGGGGCUACUGAGAUUGAGCAGCCAUGAGCAUUAAUUCGUAGUGUUUCAUGAUAUUGUUUUGUUUAAAUAUUUUGUUUUGAGCUAUAACUGCAAGCCCUGUUUAUUGCAUUUGAACAAAGCUCAUCUUUGAAGUCCCCUUAGUAAUAAUGAAAAUUGCUUUAGAAAGUUGUAAGUUAAUAAUUCGGUAGCCAUUAUAAGAAUGUGGUCUAAGUUAUGGAUUGGUGGUGAAUUAAGUGGGUGAUGCCAGGAUCUCUUAGUGAAUUGAUAGAGUGGUGGUCUGGUUACAAAUUCAAGAACCUGGAGAAAAAAGCCUGAAAGCUUUGUUGUUGGCAAGCUUGUGGUCUUUAUGGAACCAGGUGCCACAGAUUUAUGCUAUGGAAGCUGAAAAUUCGGAGCUAAGGUCCAAAGGUUCCCAUGUUGAGCAUGCUCCGAAUAACUUGACAAACACAUCUAACCAGGUUACAACAACUUCUAGUCCUCUUGACAUGGCAGUUUGACAUCAAGUAUGGUCCAUAUCAUCGAUACAAGAUACCUCUCUUACUCAGAUUUCGCAAGUUAUGAAUGCUAGCCGAGAAUAUUUAUACAAGUGAAAAUUUGGAAACUAAUUUUAUUUUGAUAAUUUGUCUCUCCGAAAGAUGGAUAUCACUAUGACUUUUCAGAACUUAUGGUUGGAAUAAUUUUCUUUUAAAUUUUUUUUGCUUUAACUUUGUUAGUGUGGUAGAAUAUUUUAUAAUUUUGGUAAGGGAUUUUUAUUGCAAUAUAAAUAAUUUUAUAUUUCAAUAAUAAA